rnacentral:lncRNA from 1 species
AUAAAAAAAUAGUUUAAAUGCUUAAAAUACUAUGAAUAUUAAAAUAAUAAAAAUUAACAAAAAUACAAACGAAAACUUUUGCCUGAUUGCGGGCAGUGCAGUUGAAUACUAUUCACAGACUAUUGUAGCGAUUGAUUACAUUGCAAAGAGAUUUCUUUUGCAUUUUUUAUCCGUAUGCCAUUCUCCAAUUUUCAAGCAUAUAUGUCCAAACUUGUAGUAAUUCAAUGGUAGGUCUAUCAUUUAGGAGGUGUUCACUAUGCUUUCUCUUUUGUAUUUCCAAGGCUUUUGUUAGAAGACUUGCGAAUCUUUAGUCAGUGAUUUUACUGUCUUAGCGUCCUGCCAUGAUAUCUUUAGGUUGUUGUCAAAUGCUUCGGUUGCCAAAGUUGGAGAGUUUUCCUUUGGAUAUGUUUUUUUUUAUGUUCGGUCAGUCUUUUUUCCAGGGUUCUGAUGGUGACUCCAAUAUAAACAGCUUGUUUCUGGGUGUUAAUGUAUGUGACAGGUAUUCUAUAGAUACUUUUAUUUUCCUAUUCCUGCCUCUUAUCCUUUUCAUUUUUAAGUUUAUUGAAGAUAGUGGGAUCCCAAUAAUAGGCAAGUUUUUUAUCA